CCUGGUGGCGAGUGGCGAACGGGUGAGUAAUAUAUCGGAACGUGCCCAGUCGUGGGGGAUAACGCAGCGAAAGCUGUGCUAAUACCGCAUACGAUCUCUGGAUGAAAGCGGGGGACCUUCGGGCCUCGCGCGAUUGGAGCGGCCGAUAUCAGAUUAGCUAGUUGGCGGGGUAAAAGCCCACCAAGGCGACGAUCUGUAGCUGGUCUGAGAGGACGACCAGCCACACUGGAACUGAGACACGGUCCAGACUCCUACGGGAGGCAGCAGUGGGGAAUUUUGGACAAUGGGCGAAAGCCUGAUCCAGCAAUGCCGCGUGCAGGAUGAAGGCCUUCGGGUUGUAAACUGCUUUUGUACGGAACGAAACGGCCUCCUCUAAUACGGGGGGCUAAUGACGGUACCGUAAGAAUAAGCACCGGCUAACUACGUGCCAGCAGCCGCGGUAAUACGUAGGGUGCGAGCGUUAAUCGGAAUUACUGGGCGUAAAGCGUGCGCAGGCGGUUAUAUAAGACAGAUGUGAAAUCCCCGGGCUCAACCUGGGACCUGCAUUUGUGACUGUAUAGCUAGAGUACGGUAGAGGGGGAUGGAAUUCCGCGUGUAGCAGUGAAAUGCGUAGAUAUGCGGAGGAACACCGAUGGCGAAGGCAAUCCCCUGGACCUG
rnacentral:rRNA from 1 species